UAUGGUGCCCAAAAGUAGUAUUUGGGUACCAUACAUGAAAAUGAUUUUCAACCUUUAGAUCAAAAUCUUAAAUCUUGACCAUCCAAAAUCACAUAGAUCCAACCGGUCACAACCGGUCACAGGCCUAAAUCAAAGCACUGAAACAGGCGAGAGAGAGAGAGAGAAGACGAAGUGAACAGAGAGAAGACCGCAAAAGCACCGAACCAAGAGACAGAGGGCACCUCGUCGGACGGGAGUUCUCCACCGCACUCGGCGAGAGAGAAGACGAACGACGAAGAGAAGCGAUUCAGGCCUUAUUUCAGGUAAAUCUAAAGUUUCCGGAAAGGAUUUUCCAAAUUAGUGUCGCCGGCAGCAAAAGAUUUGCCUUCAUUCAUCAUUGUAGUUCUGACUUUGUUUCUCACUUGUAAUUUAAUUUUUUAUUUUCUUAAUUUGGUUGAUGAUGAAUAUAGGAGAAAAGGAAUGAAGAAAUCACCAUGUUAUAUUUUUUUUUCUUUAUUUUAUCUCUUUUAGUUGAUUGUCA